rnacentral:lncRNA from 1 species
UGUAUUUUUUAAAUAUAUUCAACAGAUCGAUCUGGGUAAAGAAUCAACAGAAAAGCUAAUGGCCUCUUCAUCCUGUCCUGCGAUUACAUUUGGUCCAUUUGCUUCAGCACCAAUGUUAUGAGUCCAGUUGCGGAGGUAGCCUAAAAAUUCACAGAUAAGUUUUGCUACAAUUGCAUCCUUCAAUGGGUGAAAUUUGUUCUGAGUACGCAUUCCCCUCAAUAAUCCUUGGUAAAGUGUCCCCUUUGUAAGGUUUGUCAUACUUCACUUUCUUGCAUUUUUGCACCAGUUAGUUGAUGAUAGUGAAAGUCGUUAUGAACUUGUGAUUAAUGUUGUUGUGUUCUGUUUCUUUUUGAAUGAUGGUUUCUUAAGUUAUUUCAGAUUGGAAUGUUCUUGGUGAAUUAAUUUUGUGAUGAUGGUUAUCACGCAGAGAAAAAGUUCAUCUGUUAUAUGCGAGUAUGAUGGAAGUUCUUUUCAACAUGUUAUUAAUCAGAACUUGGAGACUAGGUAAGUUAAGUUUAUAUAUACUAUAUAACAUGGCACUAGAAGCUCCCCAUCGAAGCUCUCGGGUUUACCUGAUGCUACAUGUUCUUUGAACAUAAAAAGAAACGGUACAUGCUCACACCCAGUCACUACAGCGUAAUCGAUCCUGUCUUUUUCUUUGAACUUGAUGGUGCCAUCUUGAGAUACUUCCAACGGGCCCUCAAUUUCGUCAACAGUGUAGGUUCAAGGAGUCAUCAAAUGGUUUUUAUUUUAUGGAUCAUAUUUAUCAAGUUAACUUAUUCAAGUCUAAAUGCCAGGGAACUAAUGGGUUAGGUGAUUAUAAUUAACUUGCUUUUCUUUUUUUAGUACGAACGCAUGAAAUAAUAAGAAAAUGAUAUAUGUCUAAUUAAGUUGAAGUGAUUAGAUGUAAUUGGUUUUGAGUGGUUGACAGCCUUGAAUGGUAUAUUGGUAGGUUUUACAUGUACAUGAAGUUGGUUGAGUUGUUUAUUGUAUGCAGUAAGGAUCAUGUAUUAUAAAGAUAAUGGCAGGUCAAGAGGUUUCAGGUUUGUAAAUUUCUCAAGCGAAGAUAAAGCACGUUCAGCAAAAGAUGCCAUGAAUGGGAAGGAAGACCAUUAAAGGUCAGCUUUGCACCGGACAAAAUCGGCCACUCUAACAGGGGAACUACUUUCAGUCGUAGCCGCUGACACAAUAUGUUUUGUCAU